ACCCCAGUAGUCAAAGCAGAAAAUGAUGAAUGUCAUAGAUUAGAUAAACAAUUUAUUCUAUAAAUGAAAGUGUAAGCAUUCCACCUCAAGAGUAAUUUGGCAACAUUGGAACGGAAAUCAUUAGACCGUUUCUGAAACCAGUAGUGAAGUAUGUUGUUUAAUUUGAUGAUACGCAAAAAACCUUACCACAAUUUGAAUAUUUAUAUAUUUCUUUAUUGGUUUUUACUAAUAUAUUUGUAAAUAAUCAAAAUGAUGCUUAUACCCCGUUUGUGAAACUAAGCAUCAAAAAAGAUAAUAUAUUUACAAGCGUUGCACGGCUGUCUUCAGUUAAUGUCGUGAGAUUUUGGUUAGUUCCAUUAAAUUAACGUAAACCCUUACUUUAUUUUUAUAUAAAGUAGUUCUCCGCUAUAUUGGAUAUGAUAACAGGGACUAAGACAAG
rnacentral:rRNA from 1 species